rnacentral:rRNA from 1 species
AGAGUUUGAUCAUGGCUCAGGAUGAACGCUAGCUGGAGGCUUAAUACAUGCAAGUCGAGCGGGAUUGGUAGCAAUACCAUGAGAGCGGCGCACGGGUGAGUAACGCGUACACGACCUACCUCUGACAGGGGGAUAGCCCUGGGAAACUGGGAUUAAUACCGCAUAUUAUUCUGAUUAAUAAAGGAUUGGAAUGAAAGUUCAGGCGGUCAGAGAUGGGUGUGCGUCUGAUUAGCUAGUUGGUAGGGUAACGGCCUACCAAGGCGAUGAUCAGUAGGGGGCGUGAGAGCGUGGUCCCCCACACGGGUACUGAGACACGGACCCGACUCCUACGGGAGGCAGCAGUAAGGAAUAUUGGACAAUGGCCGCAAGGCUGAUCCAGCCAUCCAGCGUGCAGGAAGAAGGCCCUAUGGGUUGUAAACUGCUUUUAUCAGGGAAUAAACCUCUGGAUUCACUCCGGAGCUGAAGGUACCUGAAGAAUAAGCACCGGCUAACUCCGUGCCAGCAGCCGCGGUAAUACGGAGGGUGCGAGCGUUAUCCGGAAUUACUGGGUUUAAAGGGUGCGUAGGCGGCUUUGUAAGUCAGGAGUGAAAGUUUGCGGCUCAACCGUAAAAUUGCUUCUGAUACUGCAUGGCUAGAAUUAGGAUGAGGUCAGCGGAAUGUGGCAUGUAGCGGUGAAAUGCAUA